GAGAAAUACUUCCACUGUGAGAAGUGUAAUCUUGUUUAGCUAAGGAUUUGCGAGGAAACCACAAGUGUGUUGAAAAUGUUUCGAGACAGAACUGUCCAGUGUGUAUGGAGGAUAUUCACACUUCCAGAAUUAGAGCGCAGGUCCUGCCAUGCAGUCACCUUCUGCAUAAGUAUGAUUCUUUACUCACUCCAUAGCAUCUGUGUCAGUUUUUCCUUUUUAGCCUGAUAUCUCAAGA